GUAGGUGGCAAGCGUUGUCCGGAAUUAUUGGGCGUAAAGCGCGCGCAGGCGGUUCUUUAAGUCUGAUGUGAAAGCCCACGGCUCAACCGUGGAGGGUCAUUGGAAACUGGAGAACUUGAGUACAGAAGAGGGAAGCGGAAUUCCACGUGUAGCGGUGAAAUGCGUAGAGAUGUGGAGGAACACCAGUGGCGAAGGCGGCUUUCUGGUCUGUAACUGACGCUGAGGCGCGAAAGCGUGGGGAGCAAACAGGAUUAGAUACCCUGGUAGUCCACGCCGUAAACGAUGAGUGCUAAGUGUUAGGGGGUUUCCGCCCCCCUUAGUGCUGCAGCUAACGCAUUAAGCACUCCGCCGGGGGAUACGGCCGCAAGGCUG
rnacentral:rRNA from 1 species